AACGAACGCUGGCGGCAUGCCUAACACAUGCAAGUCGAACGAGACCUUCGGGUCUAGUGGCGCACGGGUGCGUAACGCGUGGGAACCUGCCCUUAGGUUCGGAAUAACUCCCCGAAAGGGGUGCUAAUACCGGAUAAUGUCUUCGGACCAAAGAUUUAUCGCCUUUGGAUGGGCCCGCGUUGGAUUAGCUAGUUGGUAGGGUAAAAGCCUACCAAGGCGACGAUCCAUAGCUGGUCUGAGAGGAUGAUCAGCCACACUGGGACUGGGACACGGCCCAGACUCCUACGGGAGGCAGCAGUGGGGAAGAUUGGACAAUGGGCGAAAGCCUGAUCCAGCAAGGCCGCGUGAGUGAUGAAGGCCUUAGGGUUGUAAAGCUCUUUUACCCGGGAUGAUAAUGACAGGACCGGGAGAAUAAGCACCGGCGAACUCCGU
rnacentral:rRNA from 1 species